GACGAACGCUGGCGGCGUGCUUAACACAUGCAAGUCGAACGAUGAAGCUGGAGCUUGCAGGGUACUCGAGUGGCGAACGGGUGAGUAACACGUGGGUGAUCUGCCCUGCACUUCGGGAUAAGCCUGGGAAACUGGGUCUAAUACCGGAUAGGAGCCAUUUUUAGUGUGAUGGUUGGAAAGUUUUUCGGUGUAGGAUGAGCUCGCGGCCUAUCAGCUUGUUGGUGGGGUAAUGGCCUACCAAGGCGGCGACGGGUAGCCGGCCUGAGAGGGUGGACGGCCACAUUGGGACUGAGAUACGGCCCAGACUCCUACGGGAGGCAGCAGUGGGGAAUAUUGCACAAUGGGCGCAAGCCUGAUGCAGCGACGCCGCGUGGGGGAUGACGGCCUUCGGGUUGUAAACUCCUUUCGCUAGGGACGAAGCUUUUGUGACGGUACCUAGAUAAGAAGCACCGGCUAACUACGUGCCAGCCGCCGCGGUAAUAC
rnacentral:rRNA from 1 species